rnacentral:rRNA from 1 species
UACGGAGGGUGCAAGCGUUGUCCGGAUUUAUUGGGUUUAAAGGGUGCGUAGGCGGUCUUAUAAGUCAGUGCUGAAAUAUCCCGGCUUAACCGGGAGGGUGGCAUUGAUACUGUAGGACUUGAGUAGAGUUGAGGUUGGCGGAAUUGACGGUGUAGCGGUGAAAUGCUUAGAUAUCGUCAAGAACACCGAUAGUGAAGACAGCUAACUAAGCUCUAACAUGACGCUGAGGCACGAAAGUGUGGGGAUCAAACAGG